GAAACCGGGUGAUCUAGCCAUGGGCAGGUUGAAGGUUGAGUAACAUCAACUGGAGGACCGAACCGACUAAUGUUGAAAAAUUAGCGGAUGACUUGUGGCUAGGGGUGAAAGGCCAAUCAAACUCGGAGAUAGCUGGUUCUCCCCGAAAGCUAUUUAGGUAGCGCCUCGGACGAAUACUACUGGGGGUAGAGCACUGUUAAGGCUAGGGGGUCAUCCCGACUUACCAACCCUUUGCAAACUCCGAAUACCAGUAAGUACUAUCCGGGAGACACACGGCGGGUGCUAACGUCCGUCGUGGAGAGGGAAACAACCCAGACCGCCAGCUAAGGUCCCAAAGUAUUGCUAAGUGGGAAACGAUGUGGGAAGGCUCAGACAGCUAGGAUGUUGGCUUAGAAGCAGCCAUCAUUUAAAGAAAGCGUAAUAGCUCACUAGUCGAGUCGGCCUGCGCGGAAGAUGUAACGGGGCUAAGCAAUACACCGAAGCUGCGGCAAUAUCUUUUAGAUAUUGGGUAGGGGAGCGUUCUGUAAGCCGUUGAAGGUGAAUCGUAAGGUUUGCUGGAGGUAUCAGAAGUGCGAAUGCUGACAUGAGUAACGACAAAGGGGGUGAAAAACCUCCUCGCCGGAAGACCAAGGGUUCCUGUCCAACGUUAAUCGGGGCAGGGUGAGUCGACCCCUAAGGUGAGGCCGAAAGGCGUAAUCGAUGGGAAACGGGUUAAUAUUCCCGUACUUCUGACUAUUGCGAUGGGGGGACGGAGAAGGCUAGGUGGGCCAGGCGACGGUUGUCCUGGUUCAAGUGCGUAGGCUUGAGAGUUAGGUAAAUCCGGCUCUCUCUAAGGCUGAGACACGACGUCGAGCUGCUACGGCAGUGAAGUCAUUGAUGCCAUGCUUCCAGGAAAAGCCUCUAAGCUUCAGAUAGUCAGGAAUCGUACCCCAAACCGACACAGGUGGUCGGGUAGAGAAUACCAAGGCGCUUGAGAGAACUCGGGUGAAGGAACUAGGCAAAAUGGUACCGUAACUUCGGGAGAAGGUACGCUCUUGAUGGUGAAGUCCCUCGCGGAUGGAGCUGACGAGAGUCGCAGAUACCAGGUGGCUGCAACUGUUUAUUAAAAACACAGCACUGUGCAAAAUCGCAAGAUGACGUAUACGGUGUGACGCCUGCCCGGUGCCGGAAGGUUAAUUGAUGGGGUUAGCGCAAGCGAAGCUCUUGAUCGAAGCCCCGGUAAACGGCGGCCGUAACUAUAACGGUCCUAAGGUAGCGAAAUUCCUUGUCGGGUAAGUUCCGACCUGCACGAAUGGCGUAAUGAUGGCCACGCUGUCUCCACCCGAGACUCAGUGAAAUUGAAAUCGCUGUGAAGAUGCAGUGUACCCGCGGCUAGACGGAAAGACCCCGUGAACCUUUACUACAGCUUGGCACUGAACAUUGAACCUACAUGUGUAGGAUAGGUGGGAGGCUAUGAAGACGUGACGCCAGUUGCGUUGGAGCCGUCCUUGAAAUACCACCCUUGUAUGUUUGAUGUUCUAACUUAGACCCAUUAUCUGGGUUGAGGACAGUGCCUGGUGGGUAGUUUGACUGGGGCGGUCUCCUCCCAAAGAGUAACGGAGGAGCACGAAGGUGGGCUAAUCACGGUUGGACAUCGUGAGGUUAGUGCAAUGGCAUAAGCCCGCUUAACUGCGAGAAUGACGGUUCGAGCAGGUGCGAAAGCAGGUCAUAGUGAUCCGGUGGUUCUGUAUGGAAGGGCCAUCGCUCAACGGAUAAAAGGUACUCCGGGGAUAACAGGCUGAUACCGCCCAAGAGUUCAUAUCGACGGCGGUGUUUGGCACCUCGAUGUCGGCUCAUCACAUCCUGGGGCUGAAGUCGGUCCCAAGGGUAUGGCUGUUCGCCAUUUAAAGUGGUACGCGAGCUGGGUUUAGAACGUCGUGAGACAGUUCGGUCCCUAUCUGCCGUGGGCGUUGGAAGAUUGAAGGGGGCUGCUCCUAGUACGAGAGGACCGGAGUGGACGAACCUCUGGUGUUCGGGUUGUGUCGCCAGACGCAUUGCCCGGUAGCUAAGUUCGGAAUUGAUAAGCGCUGAAAGCAUCUAAGCGCGAAGCGAGCCCUGAGAUGAGUCUUCCCUGAUACUUUAAGUAUCCUAAAGGGUUGUUCGAG
rnacentral:rRNA from 1 species